GAGAUGUCCACUCCUGAGUCCCUGGAACCUGUAAAUGUGUUACCUUACACAGCAGAAGGGACUCUGCAGAUGUGAUUAAGGUUAGAGACCUUGCAACAGAGAGAACAGCCUGGAUUCUCCAGGUGGUCAAAUGUGUGGGAGUGAAAUGUGAGUUCGAAAUGCCUUCCCAGGACUCAGUAUGGCUCAUUUCCCUCCUUGCCAUGAGCUGCAUGUCCCCAUGAUUCCAGGCAGCCCGCCUGGAUAUCUGUUCCUGGCUAUCGGAAGAGCCCGGUGAAGUCCUCCUGCCCCUGAGAAGAUCGAAGACUCUGUAGUGGUCAAGGUUCCUUCUCCAGCCAGAUGUGUUUUCUAGGAUUAGACCUUUCAAAUGGUGGCCAGGCCUUCUGAGGUCACAUGCAGCAAUAAAAGCAAGCUGCGGCUAACUUUU